CCUACGGGAGGCAGCAGUGGGGAAUAUUGGACAAUGGGGGCAACCCUGAUCCAGCCAUGCCGCGUGUGUGAAGAAGGCCCUCGGGUUGUAAAGCACUUUCAGUGAGGAAGAACGCCUGGUGGUUAAUACCCAUCAGGAAAGACAUCACUCACAGAAGAAGCACCGGCUAACUCCGUGCCAGCAGCCGCGGUAAUACGGAGGGUGCGAGCGUUAAUCGGAAUUACUGGGCGUAAAGCGCGCGUAGGUGGCUUGAUAAGCCGGUUGUGAAAGCCCCGGGCUCAACCUGGGAACGGCAUCCGGAACUGUCAAGCUAGAGUGCAGGAGAGGAAGGUAGAAUUCCCGGUGUAGCGGUGAAAUGCGUAGAGAUCGGGAGGAAUACCAGUGGCGAAGGCGGCCUUCUGGACUGACACUGACACUGAGGUGCGAAAGCGUGGGUAGCAAACAGGAAUAGAUACCCCGGUAGUC
rnacentral:rRNA from 1 species